rnacentral:lncRNA from 1 species
UUAUUGUAACAAAUGAAAAUGAGAAUUUAAGAUUUAUAUUCUACGUCAGAAGAUUCCAACACUUUGAUAUACUUGAAGGUUCUGAUAAUGUGUUUAAUGCUAUACAGACAUAUUGAGUUAUUUAGUUUGUAUACAGUCACUUUCCUUUCAUUGCUUUCUACUUCCUCAUAAGUAUUGAUGUGGGUGUCUGUACAUCAGUUGAUUUCUCUUUCAUGUGACGCUGACAUGAUGCUGCACAUCUUCCUCAUCUCCAUGCUGUUUCUUGAGGUUUUGCCUCAAUCAUUGUUCGAGCAGUUGUGGUUGACGACAUCUCCAUCAACAGCGCAGAAUAACUCAAAUAUAAGAUAUGAAGCACAAGACAGAUCAUCUGUUCAACCUCACUACAUCACAGAUGCAAAAAAGAGGUUUUCUCUGGAUAAGAAGCCGGAGAUUACAGUAAAUUAUGACUCUCCAAAUGGAGAAUUUAGAGUUUACUGUGAAAUACCAGGAUCAGAUAAUGCUGGUUAUACUUGUUUUCUCUUAAUUGGAGACGAAAAUAAACAAAUUCUUAAGACUUAUAAACCAUCUGGACGAACACAGUGUGUUAUUACGUUCAAGGAACAUUAUUUGCUUAAUAAACUAAUGUCAGUUAAGAGUAAAGUGAUGAGCUGCAAUUAUUCUUCUGGAACUUCAAUAUCAUCUGAACGUUCACCAUACAGUAAUAAAUACAACCUAACAGCUUUUCUACCUGUACAAGUUCAGGUAACAAGUACAACAAAAGGAUCAACAUUAUAUUCAACAUCAGUGAGUGAGGAGACUACUAAACAAAACCCAACAACACCAGACAAUUCCAUCUUUACCAACAAUACUAUGUUCAUAAGCAUUUCAACCAUUCAGAAUAUCACAGCCACAAAGUCUAGCAUGUGGUCUGACAGCACAAUAAACUCUACAUCGGAAACGGCUCAAUCUUCACAACCUCUAAACAUCACAAUGAACAUGACAGUGGUUGUUAAUGAUUCAUCUGAUGCACACAGAACACCAGCAACAAAAUCGUGGAUAAUCAUGAUACUGACAGCCACCGGUGGAGGAAUUGUGCUGAGUGGAUUGUUGGGAAUCUGUCUCUUCUGCAUGAGACAGAAACCAAGGAAGAUGAGUAUGAAACCCUCAAAACCAGAGCAAUAUUCGGUGCCAGAUGAUAAUGAUGACAACAAGGAAUGUUCUGAAGAAAAUGAGGUGAUGUGUUUUCAGCUAGUAUUCAGUUACUCAUUAUUUCUCUAUAACAGGGGUUCUCAAUUUCGAUCCUGGGGAUCAGGUGUCCUGCAGGUUUUAGCUACAACCCCAAUCAAACGAGUAGGGUGAAGCUGCAGGUCUGAAGACCAAACUGCACGCUCAAACCUACACGCUCAAACCAGCACUUUCAGACCUAUUGUUUUCUUAGGCAGUGCAACCUGCUGUUAGGUCAGGUAAAGUGGCAAGUCUCGAGACCCAACUGCAGAUAAAGUCCUCGCUGCAGCCCGCAGCUUAAUGACGUAUUAGACCAGGUCUACUAUGUAAUGGACGAAUGCCUAAACUUCCCCCUAAACCCAACCGUCAAAGUAGCAUUGGCAUUACCUUAAGGGGCUGUACAAUGUCCACUACGCAGUGGACCUGGUCCAGUACAUAAUCAUGGUUGCAGACUGCAGGGAGGACAUCUUGCAAUUACACGGUCAGACCUGAACUUUAUAGCAAGUAUAGCAACAUCGGACAAGUGACCCUAAUUCUAACGAUAACCCUAACAAUAGGUCUGGAAGUGCUGGUCUGAGCAUGCAGUUGGGUCCCUGAGCCUGCAGGUUCAUAAUGUUGAAUCAGACACACCUGGGUUAGCUAAUCAAGCUCUCCCUAGGCUCUCUAGAAACAUCCUUGCAAGUGUGUUGAGGCAAGCUGGAGCUAAAAUCUGCAGGACACCGGACCUCCAGGACUGAGUUUGUGAACCCCUGCUCUAUAAUAUCAUUACAUUUUGUAGGUAUUUAUAUUCUAAUUUGUUUUUUAGGACAAACUGUGCCAUGUUUACUAUACCAUUUCUGAAGUCCCGGCAGACACUGAUAAGUUAUACAGUCUGGCACAGAUGCCAAAUCAACCUCUGACUUUUUAAUGUAUACAUAAUAUCAUUCUAAUUAAACUUAUUGUCAUAUAAAGAGAUUGUGUUUCACUUCCAAUCAAUCUUAUAGGGAAAUUACCAACCUACGUCACAUGGGUUCUACCACGCAUACCAGUUGCAAAAA